rnacentral:rRNA from 1 species
UACGUAGGGUGCAAGCGUUAAUCGGAAUUACUGGGCGUAAAGCGUGCGCAGGCGGCUAUGCAAGACAGAUGUGAAAUCCCCGGGCUCAACCUGGGAACUGCAUUUGUGACUGCAUGGCUAGAGUACGGCAGAGGGGGAUGGAAUUCCGCGUGUAGCAGUGAAAUGCGUAGAUAUGCAGAGGAACACCGAUGGCGAAGGCAAUCCCCUGGGCCUGUACUGACGCUCAUGCACGAAAGCGUGGGGAGCAAACAGG